AGCCUAAUAGCUAGCCCGCCCCCCAAAAUUAAACUCACCACUAUUGAUAACCCCGCAUACACUAGACAACACAAAACAAACCAUUUUCCCCUCUUAGUAUGGGAGACAGAAAAG
rnacentral:rRNA from 1 species